AUUGAACGCUGGCGGCAUGAUUUACACAUGCAAGUCGAACGGUAACAGGCCGCUAGGUGCUGACGAGUGGCGAACGGGUGAGUAAUGCAUCGGAACGUGCCCAGUCGUGGGGGAUAACUACUCGUAAGAGUAGCUAAUACCGCAUACGAUCUAUGGAUGAAAGCGGGGGACCGUAAGGGCUCGCGCGAUUGGAGCGGCCGAUGUCAGAUUAGGUAGUUGGUGGGGUAAAGGCUCACCAAGCCAACGAUCUGUAGCUGGUCUGAGAGGACGACCAGCCACACUGGAACUGAGACACGGCCCAGACUCCUACGGGAGGCAGCAGUGGGGAAUUUUGGACAAUGGGCGCAAGCCUGAUCCAGCAAUGCCGCGUGCAGGAAGAAGGCCUUCGGGUUGUAAACUGCUUUUGUACGGAACGAAACGGCUCUGGUUAAUACCCGGGGCUAAUGACGGUACCGGAAGAAUAAGCACCGGCUAACUACGUG
rnacentral:rRNA from 1 species